AGAGUUUGAUCAUGGCUCAGAACGAACGCUGGCGGCAGGCCUCAAACAUGCAAGUCUAGGGGGUGUAGCAAUACAUCACCGGCGGACGGGUGCGUAACACGUGGGAAUAUACCUUUUGGUUCGGAACAACGCAGGGAAACUUGCGCUAAUACCGAAUGUGCCCUUACGGGGAAAGAUUUAUCGCCAAAGGAUUAGCCCGCGUCCGAUUAGCUAGUUGGUGAGGUAAUGGCUCACCAAGGCUCCGAUCGGUAGCUGUUCUGAGAGGAAGAUCAGCCACACUGGGACUGAGACACGGCCCAGACUCCUACGGGAGGCAGCAGUUGGGAAUCUUGGACAAUGGGGGAAACCCUGAUCCAGCCAUGCCGCGUGAGUGAUGAAGGCCUUCGGGUUGUAAAACUCUUUCGACGGGGACGAUAAUGACGGUACCCGUAGAAGAAGCUCCGGCUAACUUCGUGCCAGCAGCCGCGGUAAUACGAAGGGGGCUAGCGUUGUUCGGAAUUACUGGGCGUAAAGCGCGCGCAGGCGGUUUUUCAAGUCAGUGGUGAAAGCCCGGAGCUCAACUCCGGAAAUGCCAUUGAAACUGUGAAACUUGAGGAUGAGAGAGGUGAGUGGAAUUCCCAGUGUAGAGGUGAAAUUCGUAGAUAUUGGGAAGAACACCGGUGGCGAAGGCGGCUCACUGGCUCAUUACUGACGCUCAGGCGCGACAGCGUGGGGAUCAAACAGGAUUAGAUACCCUAGUAGUCC
rnacentral:rRNA from 1 species